UACGAAGGGGGCUAGCGUUGUUCGGAAUUACUGGGCGUAAAGGGCGCGUAGGCGGCCCGCUAAGUCGAACGUGAAAUCCCCAGGCUCAACCUGGGAACUGCGUCCGAUACUGGCAGGCUUGAAUCCGGGAGAGGGAUGUGGAAUUCCAGGUGUAGCGGUGAAAUGCGUAGAUAUCUGGAGGAACACCGGUGGCGAAGGCGGCAUCCUGGACCAAUACUGACGCUGAGGCGCGAAAGCUAGGGGAGCAAACGGG
rnacentral:rRNA from 1 species